GYGYUGAAUAAGCAUCGGCUAACUCCGUGCCAGCAGCCGCGGUAAUACGGAGGAUGCAAGCGUUAUCCGGAUUCAUUGGGUUUAAAGGGUGCGUAGGCGGACCUAUAAGUCAGUGGUGAAAUUCUGCGGCUUAACUGUAGAACUGCCAUUGAUACUGUUGGUCUUGAAUGUGUAGGAAGUGGGCGGAAUGUGUCAUGUAGCGGUGAAAUGCAUAGAUAUGACUCAGAACACCGAUUGCGAAGGCAGCUCACUAGGCCAUAACUGACGCUGAGGCACGAAAGCGUGGGGAUCAAACAGGAUUAGAUACCCUGGUAGUCCACGCCGUAAACGAUGAUUACUC
rnacentral:rRNA from 1 species